rnacentral:lncRNA from 1 species
ACAGAAACUCUGACGCCACCAUAAGCCAUGUAGUACUCUUCCAAAAAUAAUGGCCAUCUCAUCCAGUGAGCAUGAAGGACGGCUGGCUGUUCCUGUCCCUGUGCCCAAAUGAGCCUGGAGAGGCAGAGCAGUGCCAGUCAGCAUCAACUGGAGGAAAAAGAAGGCAGAACAAAACAGAACCUGUGUCCCGAGGUCUCUGAAAGAGCAAUGUGAGAGGAUGAGGAGACAAAGGCUGGAAGGAAUCAGAGCCACAAUAUGCAGAGAUUGAAGUCUAUAAAAGAAAGGGCAAGAAAUCCCGUUUUCUAUUACAACAACAGCUGAGACAGAAAAACAGUGACAAAUCUAACUUCAAGUUACCUUGCUACACAGAAUUUAUUUAUGGUUUGACUCAGUUCUGUUACUGUAGAUGUA